CUGCAUGAAGUUGGAAUUGCUAGUAAUCGCGAAUCAGAAUGUCGCGGUGAAUACGUUCCCGGGCCUUGUACACACCGCCCGUCACACCAUGAGAGUCGAUAACACCCGAAGCCUGUGAGCUAACCGUAAGGAGGCAGCAGUCGAAGGUGGGGUUGAUGAUUGGGGUGAAGUCGUAACAAGGUAAC
rnacentral:rRNA from 1 species